rnacentral:piRNA from 1 species
UUCCAUGUGUGACUGUACCAGUUAAGC